CCUACGGGAGGCUGCAGUCGGGAAUUUUGGGCAAUGGGCGAAAGCCUGACCCAGCAACGCCGCGUGAAGGAUGAAGUAUUUCGGUAUGUAAACUUCGAAAGAAUAGGAAGCGGUACUAUUUAUAAGCUCCGGCUAACUACGUGCCAGCAGCCGCGGUAAUACGUAGGGAGCAAGCGUUGUUCGGAUUUACUGGGCGUAAAGGGCGCGUAGGCGGCGCGACAAGUCACUUGUGAAAUCUCCGGGCUUAACUCGGAACGGCCAAGUGAAACUGUCAUGCUAGAGUGCAGAAGGGGCAAUCGGAAUUCUUGGUGUAGCGGUGAAAUGCGUAGAUAUCAAGAGGAACACCUGAGGUGAAGACGGGUUGCUGGGCUGAACUGACGCUGAGGCGCGAAAGCCAGGGGAGCAAACGGGAUUAGAUACCCUUGUAGUC
rnacentral:rRNA from 1 species